rnacentral:rRNA from 1 species
AACGCGAAGAACCUUACCUGCCCUUGACAUCCUGCGAACCCGGGAGAGAUCCCGGGGUGCCGAAAGGAGCGCAGAGACAGGUGCUGCAUGGCUGUCGUCAGCUCGUGUUGUGAGAUGUUGGGUUAAGUCCCGUAACGAGCGCAACCCUUGUUCCUAGUUGCCAGCAUUCAGUUGGGGACUCUAGGAAGACUGCCGGUGAUGAACCGGAGGAAGGCGGGGACGACGUCAAGUCAUCAUGGCCUUUAUGGGCAGGGCCACACACGUGCUACAAUGGGGCGUACAGAGGGUCGCCAACCCGCGAGGGGGAGCCAAUCCCGCAAAAGCGCCUCGUAGUCCGGAUUGGAGUCUGCAACCCGACUCCAUGAAGCUGGAAUCGCUAGUAAUCGCGAAUCAGCACUGUCGCGGUGAAUACGUUCCCGGGCCUUGUACACACCGUAGUAC